UCCAAAGUCUUGAAGAGGAAGCUCAGUGCUGAAAAGCAUCUCUGUUCUUUUAAUACUAUCAUAGAAGCUGCCUUAGUUGACUUGCAGUCAACUCACAGGCCAGCUAUUCAUCACUGUGUAUAACGUACUGGUUGAAUCAUAUUGAAUUUCUGGUUUUGUGGGUCCAAAAAUGGUGGAACACCAGCAUUUUCAGACAAAUGUUUUGAUUAUCUGGCCAAAUGCUACUCCUGAUCACUCAGAAGAAGAUGGAAUUACAACUAUCAAUUGCAAGAGGACCUAGUACAAUGCAGUUCACGAGGUACUUCCUGUAUUAUCGUCCCCUUUAAAUGGUCAGAAACUGAAGAAGAGAAAUCUGGCUCCUGCAAGCAAACGUCCUCCAAGCCCCUUUGAAGCAACCACAGAAACAGGUGGGGGCUAUAGAAACCAGAAUUUAAUGACAGAAAUAGUUUCCUUGUUAAUCAAUCAUUUGGUGUAAGCUAAAGGUCACGAAGAGGAAG